rnacentral:lncRNA from 1 species
AGGUGAUGCUAAUUUUUCUCUGCCCAUCCCUGCACCAGGCAAGAGGCAUGAUGGGAACUCUGUACAGUUCCUGUGCCCUAAGAUGUGCAGCUUGAAUGGGAGACAGGCUGGGUCCAGAGACCCUACAGCAGGAGCUCUGAGACCAUCCGUGGGUCACUAAAGCAUCCAGCUUCUCUGAAAAUUGGAAAGCACCGAUAGUAAAUGUCCCAUUUCCUACCGCGCGUCAGCAGUUUUGAGCCUUGCAGGAAACACUAGAUCACUCUUGGAUAGGUACCAAGGCGUUGUGGAAAGCAUGGAGGCAGAGAUGGAGAGUCUGAACUUCACUGCUGGGAGAUAGCAUCGUGACUAGGGCUAGGGAGGCGGCUGGGGGUGCCCAUCGCCCAGGAGACCCUCCAUCCAGGUGACUGACAGCCCCGGGCCAGGCCUGAAUCAUUGUGUGCAAUCGCAGCACACUCGGGCAUGCUCUUCCAAAGUAAGGUCACGUUCUACUUUUCCGAGGCAGAUUUUCUUACCCAGGAUACACGCCUGGUGGCUAUCACCCAGGGCAACCUGAAAAGGAUCGUUCACACUCGGGAGAGGUCAG